rnacentral:rRNA from 1 species
CCUACGGGUGGCAGCAGUGGGGAAUAUUGCACAAUGGGGGAAACCCUGAUGCAGCGACGCCGCGUGAGUGAAGAAGUAAUUCGUUAUGUAAAGCUCUAUCAGCAGGGAAGAAAAUGACGGUACCUGUGUAAGAAGCCCCGGCUAACUACGUGCCAGCAGCCGCGGUAAUACGUAGGGGGCAAGCGUUAUCCGGAUUUACUGGGUGUAAAGGGAGUGUAGACGGCUGUGCAAGUCUGGAGUGAAAGGCGGGGGGUCAACCCCCGGACUGCUCUGGAAACUGUACGGCUGGAGUGCAGGAGAGGUAAGUGGAAUUCCUGGUGUAGCGGUGAAAUGCGUAGAUAUUAGGAGGAACACCGGUGGCGAAGGCGGCUUACUGGACUGUAACUGACGUUGAGGCUCGAAAGCGUGGGGAGCAAACAGGAUUAGAUACCCGAGUAGUC